rnacentral:rRNA from 1 species
GACGAACCGUGCGAACGUUGUUCGGAAUCACUGGGCUUAAAGGGCGCGUAGGCGGGCUGUCAAGUCAGGGGUGAAAUCGUUCGGCCCAACCGGACAAGGGCCCCUGAUACUGGUGGCCUCGAGGGAGGUAGGGGUCGAUGGAACUUCCGGUGGAGCGGUGAAAUGCGUAGAGAUCGGAAAGAACACCAACGGCGAAAGCACUCUGCUGGGCCGACACUGACACUGAGAGACGAAAGCUAGGGGAGCGAAUGGG